GCGUCACAUUCAACGUGGGCUAACAUGGCUGUAGAACAUGUGCCAAGAUGGCGCUUUUAUGCUAGUGAAUGGUCAAAACGCGAGAGUCGCAAAAAUCCAGCACUAGUUCGAGGCUUUGCAUUCCACAAAAUAGUGCUGAACCUUGCCUCAAACGAUGAAUGAGCUGACCCAAGAGUCGUUCGCCGCCAAAGAAUUUCGGAAAACACAGUUUGCGAGAAUGACUUAGUGGCUGUUGUGAAAUCCAGCAACAAUUGCUCACUGCACUUAAGCGACACGGCUGGUUACGUUUUGGAGCUCAAUCUCUGCAGUGGCAGUAGAGUGAAACGGGCUUGUCUAAACAGCGAGUGCUGCAAUGGCGAACCGUAAUGUGACGAAAUGGAGCCCUCGGGUGGCGCAAAACGCAGGCGCUGGAGCCACGGCAGGUGGGGUCGUGAGCCUUUGCUUGCAUCCUGUUGAUACUUUGAAGACGCUCGUGCAAGCGCGAGCUGGUGGCAACCGCAACCUCCUUCCCAUUAUGUCCGCUCUUAUUUCUGAAAGAGGUAAACCUUUUAUAGUCCAUGCCUGUACGCUUGUCCAGUGUCGUCAACUUCUCAGUAGUUAAGUUUCAAGGGUUUCUUUACGUAGAUCCUUCUCCUUUCCUUGGAUCUUGCUCGAGAGAGGACGUCUAAUUUGCAGGUUUGGGAGGUUUGUACCGAGGUCUUGGAAGCAAUUUGAUUGCGUCCACACCAAUCUCAGCUAUCUACACGCACACUUAUGAAACCGUCAAAGCUGGUCUGCUUCGCCACAUUCCAGAGGAGGGGACGCCAUCGACGGUUAUGAACCUUCAUGUCAAUUGAAUGCAAACAGGAUAUGUCAGCACUGGCACAUUGCGUUGCUGGGGGAUGUGCAUGUGUGGCCACCUCCUUCGUGUACACACCGAGUGAUUGUGAAACAGCGGAUGCAAGUGCACGGAUUGUAUACAAAUAGCUGGUACGGUUCAAUAUCCCGAUGUUCCAAAUUUGAAAGAAAUCUGGCCGAUGGGACUGAUCACGUCGUUUACCAGCACAUAGUUUACACGAUGCGUGGUGAUCUUCUGCCACGUGAGAAUUGCCCUCAAGCUUUCUCCAGCAUCCCCCGGUCCGCAUUUUGCCUGCAAUGUGAAGAUUCCGAGUUUCUGCUGUUGAGCAGUUGUGGAAUAACUCAGGCAAGCGUUCACUUCGAUAGUGCAACAAGGAGGGUUGCCGACGCUGUAAAAGGGUUGGGGAGCAGUGCUUUGUCGCAAUGUACCGCAAUCUGUGGUCAAGUUCUACACAUAUGAGGGGCUGAAGCGCUGGAUUUAACGAGACCAGCCUCGUGACACCCCUUUGAGCACACCACAAGCGCUGGUUGUCGGCGGUGCUGCUGGGUCUACUGCUGCUUUAUUCAGUACUCCUUUCGAUGUUGUCAAGACUCGGCUGCAAACGCAGGUUUUGAGCUGGUUCUGGAGUGACCAGUACUGCCCGUAUUGCUUGUUUUGGAAUCUAUCCCUGGGACAGCUCAACAAUACACUGGGGUUAUUCACGCUUUCCAGAGCAUUGUCACUACAGAGGGUGUAGCUGGAUUGUACCGGGGACUAGUACCGCGGAUAUUGAUAUACAUCACCCAGGGGGCACUUUUUUUCGCUUCAUAUGAGUUUAUCAAGCGCGUCCUAGCAGUGAAAGCCCCGGGGCUUCCAGUGAAGACACUUCGGAUGGAAGAAUACAAACGGCAGGUGGUACCCAUUCCAACGAAGUGCAGUUGUAACGGAGCAUGCAUCGUACAUGCAGUAUUUAUUCAUUAAGUAUAGAACUUUUUCUUUAAUAUUUGAUAGAAUUUGAUUACUUCAGAGUGAGGUGGAUAAAAUAUGCUCACCUAUUUAAUAAAUGAAAGUAAAGGUAUUCAUUUAUGCUUGUAUGAUCUA